rnacentral:lncRNA from 1 species
UAGUUCAUAUGGACCAAUACGUGUCCGAUCUUCAUUUGACAUAAUAAUUAGCACUAACAUACCAUUUAUUGAAUACAAAGAGUAGAAAGUUACAACUUGGCUUUCUAAGACAACAACAAAAGGAAAUCGAAGGAAAACACAUGCAUACAUGCAUGAAUUAUUAAACACAACAAUUCAAAUGAAACACCGCACUAAUAAUUUUAUGUUUAUCUGCUUCUUAGCCUUUUCACAGAAGCAUUUUCUCCUCCUUUUUCUUGAGCUUGUAUCUUCAACAAAUUAGGCUUCUUGUCUAAUAAAUUCAUAAACCAUAUAGCAGAGAUUUUCGGGAUUCUUGUCAUCCGUCCAUUCACAUAAUCUAUAUAAAAAAUACCAAAUCUGACACUAUAUGCUGAGGUCCAUUCAAAAUUGUCGAACAUUGCCCAUAUAUAGUAAGCCUUCACAU